rnacentral:rRNA from 1 species
GACGAACGCUGGCGGCGUGCUUAACACAUGCAAGUCGAACGGAAAGGCCCUGCUUUUGUGGGGUGCUCGAGUGGCGAACGGGUGAGUAACACGUGAGUAACCUGCCCUUGACUUUGGGAUAACUUCAGGAAACUGGGGCUAAUACCGGAUAGGAGCUCCUGCUGCAUGGUGGGGGUUGGAAAGUUUCGGCGGUUGGGGAUGGACUCGCGGCUUAUCAGCUUGUUGGUGGGGUAGUGGCUUACCAAGGCUUUGACGGGUAGCCGGCCUGAGAGGGUGACCGGCCACAUUGCGACUGAGAUACGGUCCAGACUCCUACGGGAGGCAGCAGUGGGGAAUAUUGCACAAUGGGCGGAAGCCUGAUGCAGCAACGCCGCGUGCGGGAUGACGGCCUUCGGGUUGUAAACCGCUUUCGCCUGUGACGAAGCGUGAGUGACGGUAAUGGGUAAAGAAGCACCGGCUAACUACGUG